CGGUUCUGACUUUAUUUUCUCACUUGGAAAAUGUUUGUGACCAUUGCUUGAUUCAAACUUACUAGAUAGCCCCAUAUUAUCCAAAUUUAUUUCCUUGACCAUCUUCAAGAUAUCAACAUCACUUUCAGCAUUUUUUGUUUUAGCUGAUGAAGGCUUGUUCUUUUUAAGCUUGCCACCCUUAGUGCCCUGCAAUUUUAACUGUUUUAUCAUUUUGCCAAGGGGCACCUCAUUUGCUUCUCUUUCACUGUCUUUUAGAACCACAUCCUCAGCAAUAUCUGAAUUAAUUUUUCCAUCAGUUUCUAAAUUAAGCAAUUCAAAUUGAGUCAAGACAUUCUCAUCAGCCAACCACAUUUUUCCCUCAGUUGCCAGAGAAUCAUCUCCUUCUUUCUUCUCAUGUGAUUUGUAAAGCAUUGGAGGCAGGGAAACUGGUGAAGCCAAAGUUUGUAUAUCAUCCUCCUUCGGAGCUAAGCGCUUGGUGAUUGCC
rnacentral:misc_RNA from 1 species